rnacentral:rRNA from 1 species
AUUGAACGCUGGCGGCAGGCCUAACACAUGCAAGUCGAGCGGAUGAAGGGAGCUUGCUCCUGGAUUCAGCGGCGGACGGGUGAGUAAUGCCUAGGAAUCUGCCUGGUAGUGGGGGAUAACGUCCGGAAACGGGCGCUAAUACCGCAUACGUUCUGAGGGAGAAAGUGGGGGAUCUUCGGACCUCACGCUAUCAGAUGAGCCUAGGUCGGAUUAGCUAGUUGGUGGGGUAAAGGCCUACCAAGGCGACGAUCCGUAACUGGUCUGAGAGGAUGAUCAGUCACACUGGAACUGGGACACGGUCCAGACUCCUACGGGAGGCAGCAGUGGGGAAUAUUGGACAAUGGGCGAAAGCCUGAUCCAGCCAUGCCGCGUGUGUGAAGAAGGUCUUCGGAUUGUAAAGCACUUUAAGUUGGGAGAAAGGGCAGUAAGUUAAUACCUUGCUGUUUUGACGUUACCAGCAGAAUAAGCACCGGCUAACUACGUG